rnacentral:rRNA from 1 species
UACGAAGGGGGCUAGCGUUGCUCGGAAUCACUGGGCGUAAAGCGCACGUAGGCGGAUUGCUAAGUCAGGGGUGAAAUCCUGGAGCUCAACUCCAGAACUGCCUUUGAUACUGGCGACCUUGAGUCCGGGAGAGGUGAGUGGAACUGCGAGUGUAGAGGUGAAAUUCGUAGAUAUUGGGAAGAACACCGGUGGCGAAGGCGGCUAUCUGGACCGACAUUGACGCUGAGGCGCGAAAGCGUGGGGAGCAAACAGGGAUUAAGAAACCC